AUUAAAGUGGCACGCGAGCUGGGUUCAGAACGUCGUGAGACAGUUCGGUCCCUAUCUGUGAUGGGCGUAGGAAGUUUGAGAGGAUCUGACCUUAGUACGAGAGGACCGGGUUGGACUAACCGCUGGUGUACCGGUUGUGGCGUCAGCUGCAUAGCCGGGUAGCUACGUUGGGACGAGAUAAGCGCUGAAAGCAUCUAAGCGCGAAACUCACCUCAAGAUGAGACUUCCAUUAAGGGACGUCAGAGACGAUGACGUUGAUAGGCUGCAGGUGUAAAGGCAGAGAUGUCAAAGCUGAGCAGUACUAAUUACCCGAACGCUUCAGAUAA
rnacentral:rRNA from 1 species